GAAAGUGGCAGGAGGGGUAAGUGCACCCUCCCCGGCUCUUAAAGUUAGACACUGCCGGUUCCGAGGCCCAUAAAGGGUCUCUGAACUGGUUCCGUGCACAUCCCUACUGCAUGGUGCCCCUUACACCAUGUGGAGGUGACCAUUCUCACCAUACAGUGCUGCACUUUGCCCAGAGCUGGUGAGGCUCCUUUAAGGGAAAUGGAACCCUCUUGAGCCCCUGCACUAUCUUCGAAGGUGUGCACAGGAUGCUGGAAAGUGUAACCUCCAUUCUUUCCUCCUAUAGUGCUUUAGAGAGGGAGCUGUCUCUCUCAAAGGCCCUCCCAGCAUUAAGAGAAGCACAGCACUGGGUCAGCACAGUGGGAAAUGGCUCUCACAUAGAAGGUUUUUUGCCCCAGUGGACCCUGCUUGAAAAAUAGUGAAGAUUAAAACAAAAAGGGUUUCUUGAAAGCGAUGUGUAUGUGUGGAGAGAGGAGCUUUAGAGCAUGAGCGUGGUCCUUAUGAUUAAUGCAUUGGAAAUUAAUAAUUUUAUUUAUCUGAAUAUUUUUAAAACUGCUUUUUGUCAGCUGAACACAAGGCUGUGUUUAGCAUUAAACACAAUAUACAAACAACAGUUUAAAGCAAUAAAAAUAAUAAGGCUCACAGUCCAGCAAGAAUUCCAUUUUGGGACUUUUUAGAAAUAAACCAUUAUUUAUUUAUUGAAACUUCUUAUAUACCACCUCCACCAAAGACUCUAGGUGGUGAACAACAGAAAUACCAACAAUAACCAAUUUUUAAAAAAUGAUUAAAGGGCAAACAGCUGGUGAAACAGGUGGAUCUUAAGAAAGGCCUUAAAAGCAGUCAGGGAGGGGGCUGAAUGAAUGGGUGUGUGUGAAGAGUGUUCCAAAGAAGAGGGGCAGCCACAGAGAAGGCCCUCCUAUGGGCCCAGGCACCACGCACUACACCUGGACCCGGGACACUAAGGAGGGCCAGCUGAGAAGACCUCACAGGCCAGGAUAGAGCUGGCCGAGAUAGGCGAUCCCAGAGAUAUACAGGUGCUAAGCCCAUAAGGGUUUUGUAGGUGAGAACCAGCACCUUGAAUUGGACCUGGAAGCGAACAGGCAACCAGUGCAGUGACCUAAAAGAGGUGUGAGACUAUCAAAAAUACAGCCACCAUGAGGAGGUGGGCUGCUGCAUUCUGGACUAGUUGAAGCUUCCGACUCAUUUUCAAAGGCAACUCUAGGUAGAGCGCAUUACAGUAAUCCAAACAAGAGGUAACAGAGUUACUGUUGCCAGAGCCUACCAGUCAAGGAAAGGCCAUAAUUGGCGAACCAGCUGAAGACUGGGAAAGGCACCCCUGGCCACGGCCUCCACUUGCUGUUCAAGCGGGAGCCGUGAGUCCAGGAGGACCCCCAGAUCACGAACCGUCUCUCUCAAGGGAAGCGCAGCCCUGUCAAGAGAUAAACUCACACACGCGGCAACUGGCCAGAUCGCAAACUGAACAAGAGCUACUCAGUCUUGGAGGGAUUGAGCCUGAGCUUGGGACCAGGCCCAUCCAGGUCCUGACAGCCUCUAGGCACUGAGCCAGCACAUGAACAGCAUCACCUGUUGGGCCAAGGGUAGAGAUAUAAAGCUGAGUAUCAUCAGCAUAUUUAUGAAAAUUUACCCCAAACUGACAGAUGACCAAACCCAGCAGCUUCAUAUCGAUGUUAAAGAGAAUGGGAGCAAGGACCGAGCCCUGUGGAACCCCACAAGAAAGGGGCCAGGGCACAGAACAAUCACCCCCAAUCGACACCAACUGGAAUCGCCCAGUGAGGCUGGGAAAGGAGUGAGAGAGACUGCAGUUCUUCAAACUCAAUCAAUUUGACAAGAGAAAACGCAAACUCGCAUGAGUGCCAAUGAGCUUUUCUUCUGGGAUGAAUAUUAGCUGAGCGGGAUAGACCUGAUCCAGAUUGGGGCCAUGGGGAAUGAAGGGAUGAAGCCUCCCCACGCCACUGAAGACUGCAGGGACGUACUCCAGAUCUCACACGCACAUUGCUGUUUUACAUCAGAAAUGUCAAUCAGACAGUCAGUCUUUAUUACGGUCUCUGACCAGUACACCUAAAGCAAUAUAUGCACAUUGAUACACAGCACAGCAUGCUGAUUACAUACCAAUACAUUAAUUCUACCAUUGAUUCUACAUUGAGUGAGGAGAGCUGGUCUUAUGGUAGCAAGCAUGAUUUGUCCCAUUAGCUAAGCAGGGUCCACCCUGGUUACAUUUGAAUGGGAGACUUGAUGUGUGAGCACUGUAAGAUAUUCCCCUUAGGGGAUGGAGCCGCCACUCUGGGAAGAGCAGAAGGUCUCAAGUUCCCUCCCUGGCUUCUCCAAGAUAGGGCUGAGAGAGAUUCCUGCCUGCAACCUUGGAGAAGCCAGUGCCAGUUUGUGAAGACAAUACUGAGCUAGAAAGACCAAUGGUCUGACUCAGUAUAUGGCAGCUUCCUAUGUUCCCCAUUAGCAAGCAGAGUAUGUUGCACUCGUAUUGCAGAACAACAGAAUUUCUGAACAGAAUAUGUAAUUGAUGAAUUAAUGUCUGUUAACAAAUAUUUGACAUAAAAAUCCAUCCAGUCGUCCCAGGAAUUUUUUAGAACGGGAUCCAUUAACCUUCGCCUAAUGUCUGAGUAAAAGGCACACCACAAGAGCACAUGUGCAGCCAACUCGAUCUCAUUGAGUUACAGAGGCAGUAUCUCGAUCAAUUGUAUUUCUAUACUGCCUGAUAUAAAAACCUCCAGGUGGUGUACAAGUCAAAACAUAAUAUAAUAUAAAACAGUUAAAAACUUUGUAAUACAGAUAAAAACAGUCUCAGUAGGAAAAAACAUAUUGAAAUUUCAAUGUCAAUUAAAAGCCUGGGAGAACAGGUACAUCUUGAGGUUCUUUGUCUGUGCACUGGGAUGUAACUCAAAUGGUGCAAGGCGGUCUGGUCCAGGAGUUUCAAUGCUACCUCUGCUAACUUGGCAAAGAGGCACCUUUUAAUGUGGCAAUUCUCUUUAUUUAGCAGGGGGAGAGUAACUGGCCCUAUCCACCCCCAGCACAGGACCUCCAGUGACUGUUGCUGGUGUCUGUCUUAUGUUUCUUUUCAGAUUGUGAGCCCUUUGGGGACAGGGAUCCAUUUUAUUUAUUUGUUAUUUCUCUGUGUUAAGCGUCCUAAGCCAUUUUUGGAAGGGCAGUAUAGAAACUGAAUAAAUAAAUAAAUAAAUAAAGCAAGCUGCCUUUUCCUCUGGCCACUUCAGCACCAAGGAAUCUAACAGGUGUCUUGGUUGGCUGUUAACCGAUUCAGCUUCCCCUGGCAAGGCCUUGCCGCCAUUGCAGUGAGUGGGGCUCUUUUGCAAAAGCUGGAGCCUGCCUUUGCUGCCGGCACCAUCCUCGCAGCUCCUGCACCAGGUUUUCCUUUGGAGUUACAUGUCUUCCACCAGCACCAGAUAAACGGCGUUGCUGCCGGCAGGGGCGGUGGAGGAGGGCGGCUUGCAGAUGGAGACCACCUCACAAUACAAGGCGGCUAUCUGGGUGCUGCUGUCGGGGCAGCAGCAGGAUCCCGCUGACAUCAAGCCAGGCGGAGGGGAGCAGAUCCUGCCGCUGCCGGCGGAGGCUGAACAUUUGAAAAGAUGUGGCUUGAGAUCCACGGUCGGGGCUUGAAAGGCGUGUGUGUGCAUCAAGCACCCUUUCCCAGCCGGGGGUGGGAAAAGCCAUGCAGGGCGAAGCCCCUUCGCUGCCUCCGAGACUUUCCCUCCAGCAAGCAGCUCCCUCUGGACCACACCCCACUUCCCUGCCACCUCCCCGCGGUGGCAACAGCAGCGGCACUUCAUUCCCCCACCCCUCUCCCAGCUAAUAAUUCAGGAGUGCGGACAUUCAUCUGAGCCCUUGAAAAAGCCCAUCUAUGUUUAGGGAAAGUAAGAAAGAAUAUAUAAUCUGCUCGGCGAGUCCUCGCCCAGUCAUAGGCCCCGAACAUGCAAUAGACAUAUUGCCUAUUUCAGCCCUCAGUCAGGGACCCCGGUGCUUGAAGUGGGAACCUGAACUCUAUGUCUGGGGACUUACCCACACUGAGGGUUUGCAGGCCUCAGAGGCCUCUUGAGCACAAGAUGUGUAAAAUCUCUUCCCUUGAAAUUGACAGGGCGUAAGAAGCUUCAGGAUUGUCUUGGCCUGGUGUCUAUUCAGGGUGGCUGGCUUUUUCUUCUUCAUUGCCUUCAUAAUGUGGUACUUUCUACAUAAGGACGGGCCUCUUAUGAAGCACAGUGAGGUAUUUGCCCCAGGUCGGCUGGUUUUGGGGGGAGGCACUGCUGCCCCACCCCUGCAGGUGCCACCCAACCUGCCCUUUAACAUCUUCCGGAGUUUAUCUGACACCUUCCGGCUUUGAAAGUGGCAGGGGGUGAGAAGACAGGGCUCCCAUCAGCCUUCCCUCCCUGCUGGCCAGGCAGGGGCGGUCCUUUCAUGAGGCAGGAGGAGGCGGUUGCCUUAAGCAGCAGAUUAUUGGGGUGCCAGCAGGGCAGCAAGAUGCCCACCACCGCAACCAUCAAAACAGCUCUUUGGGACUGAACGGAUUCUUGCAAGCUUUGUAAGGAUCAUCUCUCCUCUUGCAAGAGGCAUGAGGGGAGAAAAGGAGGCAGCUGGUUACCUUCCUCAUCUCCGCCCCCCACCCCCACCAUUUUCAAAGCUUGAGAAAUUGCUGUUGGAAGGGUACUGGCUCCCAUCAGGGUUGUGGUGCAAGGCAGCCUCUCAGGCACCUUGAGCUACCCCUGCCCCCAUGGUGAGAUGGCAUUUAGCACCUUACCCUUAGGGCCUUUUCACGUUAGAGAUAUACUGCAAGCAAGGACGUUGCUAGGGGAGAGGGGGCCCAUGUUCACUCUUCUCCCCAGCAGCCCCUCGGAAUGAGGAAGACAAUGAAGAAAAUAGGGAAGGAUGGAGCUGGGGGACCCUCAGGAGCUUGGGUGCCAAGGUUCUUUGAACCUAUCCACUCAAUUAUAACUACGCCCAACUGCAAGGCUUUGUUGCAGGUCCAUACUUGUAUCCACAUAAUUUUGAAACUGAAUGCACAGUGAUAGACAUCUGUUCCAAGGCAUAAUUUUGCCUUCACAUACCAAAAAGACCACUCCCUCCAUAAUAUAUUUUAAAAUGUAUUCUGGACAGAUCUCCUGAAAAUAUGCAUAAUUCAUACACAUUAUAAGUGAGUGUUAACCCCACUGAAGAAGCACCCUCCAACAGAGGGGUCAGAAAGAAGGCAUGCCCUGUUUUAUUGCUGCUUCCCUCACAAAGUAAUCUUAUAUAGAUUUAACUAAAAGUUUAUUCAGAAACAACUAUAUUUUCUCCUUCUCCUUCCCUUCCCUUUUCCUUUCUGACUACCCCCCCUCCCCGCCCCAGUCUCUACAGGAUCCCCACUGGGACAAACUUCUAAACAACAAAACAUAAAAGAUUACUAGAUAGAAUACAAUACAACAUGCCCUCACUGCCAAGUCUGCACAUCUCUGGCUUUCUGGAUAAGCCUGCUAAUUGAAUUUCCCACGGUGUUGGCUGAGGUUAUUCUAGUGCUGCUGACAUCUGUCCCCAUGGACUGAAAGCACUAACUCAUUUCACAUUGGCUAGUUAACAGCUGUCAGAUGGUCACAGCAUUCAAUCACUGCCAGGUUAGCCUGGAUUUGAACCAGCAGCUUCAGAAUGAAAGACUCAUGUGUCAUCAUUACACUGGUCCUCCGAGAUACGCAGUUCCCCCUCUGGCAGCAGAUGUCUGGUGUGUUAAUUUCAAAAGAUGUAAGCAAAUGUCUAAAAAUACAUUAGCCAGAUUUAUGGUGUUUAAACAAAUUUAGCCCUGAAUAUCUUGCACACGUUUAAAUGGAAUUUGCUUACAGUAAUGCGUUUUGGUUCACCUGGAAAGGAGUUUCAUUUAAAUCAAGAUGGAUUUGCGAGUAAAUCUAGUGUCAUCGGUGGUGGGUUAACGGAGAGGCAGAGUAGGCAUUUGCCUUUGGCGGCAAAAUUUGAGGAGCAGCAAAUUUUGCCUCCCCUCUCUGUGGGCAGCGGUGACUGCAGCAAGGGUGGAGUGGGUGAGGAGAAAGUCCCUCCUUUUCCUUAUUAAAAAAAGGCAAACCUUUUUUGUUUAAGGUAAAAGGGUGGCAAAAGCCUUUUUGCUUAUGGGCAGCAAAAAGCUUAAUCCGCCCCUGAGUGUCAUGCUGUGGAUAGAGACUGGAGAACUGGAGCUGAAUCCUAUCUUUGUCACAAAGGCCAUUGUGGCCUGGGAUCAGGCUAGAAUUGUGGGCAGCCAGACCCAAAUUCAGGCUUAACAGGAUACAUUCUACAAGAAUCCUGAGGUCAGUUGGGACUGGAAGCUGGCAGGGUUGAGGAAGCUACCUUCCUUAACCCUGCCAGGGAGAGGAGAUCUGGUCUUGUGGUAGCAAGCAUGACUUGUCCCCUUAGCUAAGCAGGGUCCACCCUUGUUGCACAUGAAUGGGAGCACUGUAAGAUAUUCUCCUUAGGGGAUGGAGCUGCUCUGGGAAGGUUUCAAGUUCCCUCUCUGGCUUCUCCAAGAUUGGGCUGGCUCACUAUAUGGCACUAUAUGUCUUAGUAUAUGGUAGCUUCCUAUGUUUCUUAUGUUCCUAUGUUCUAAUGUUCUGUGUUCUAGCUUUCCUAAGCUAGAAGGCAUAACUUAAAAUGCAAAAGCGUGAACAUCCACAGGACUUUUUCCAGAGGCGGUGGGGUGGGGGGAUAUAUGCACAACAGGUCAUAUCUGAUGUUAAUUCAACACAGUUAUUGGAUUAAUAUUGGAUAUAACCUGUUGUGAGUAUAUAUGUAGCAUGGUGAUAUUGGCUCAACCCAGGGAGCAAAGCUUCUUACUACCUGCCAAUCACAGGGGCCAUUUGUUAUUCUUCUGCAACACAUAUUGGUAUUCUCUCCUGCUGCAGAAGAAGGUUUUGAAUCUAUACGUCUGGUGGCAACUCAGAGGCGGGCCUUCUCUGUCUCUGCUCCUGAGCUAUGGAAUGCACUCCUGGCAGAAAUCUGUAAUCUGAGUUCAUUACUGGCCUUCAGGAGAGCCCUUAAGACCUACCUAUUUGGCCUGGCCUUCCAGGGUUUUUAAACUGUUUUUAAACUGUAAAAGUUGGGCCUGGUUUUCCAGGGUUUUAAAAACUGUUUUAAUUGUGGUUUUAUGUUAUUUUUACAUUUUUCGAUUUUAACAGUUAAUUGAUUUUAGUGUUGUUUUAAUGUAAACCUCCCUGAGCCAUUUUUGGAAGGAUGGUAUAGAAAUCAAAUAAAUAAAUAAAUAAAAUGUCAA